CGCAACUCAUACAGGAAGUAGCUCACGCAGAAGCGUGGCUAUUUGUUUACAUCCGACCUCGGCCGGGAAUUCACUUUGCCGUUCCAACUGUUCAUUUUCUUUGAAAGAAAAACCUUUUUUUAAUACAUUCCCCGAAACAUCGACUGAUCAAUGUGCGUCGGCUGUGUGGACGGCUUAAAUAAUUAGCCUCCGACGAAACAUGCUAAUGCUAAAUAGCACGGUACUACUAGCAUCUUGCUACCAAAGAAGCUAACACAAGAACCUGUCAUAAGCGACACAAGGACUGGGACCUGGACGAUGUUAAGGAGUCAGUCACGUCCUAUUGCACCAUGGCAUUGUCUGAGGUUCACUGGGAUAAGGAUGUCCCCCUCCCUAGGCUGGGUCCAGUCCAGGCUAAAGUCACCGUGGGCCUGGUGGCACUUCUGUGCUUCAUCAACAGUUAUGAUGGGGAAUUUGUGUUUGACGAUUCAGAAGCCAUCGUCAACAACAAGGAUUUGAGAGCAACAACGCCAUGGAACAACAUCUGGAGCAAUGACUUCUGGGGAAGCAACCUGAGCAGCAACUCCAGUCACAAAUCCUACAGACCACUCACUGUCUUUACAUUCAGGUUGAACUACAUAUUAGCGGGCGGCCUGCACCCUGUUGGCUUCCACGUGCUGAACAUCCUCCUUCAUGCUGUCAUAUCUGUUCUCAUGGUGGACAUGUUUGCCCUGCUCAUAGGCGGAAUGGCUAACGAUGAGCACGGUUACAUCCUAAAUCGUGCUCCCAAGACCUCCCUGCUGGCCGCGCUCCUCUUCGCCGCACACCCGGUCCAUACGGAAAGUGUGGCGGGUAUCGUGGGUCGAGCAGAUCUGCUAUGCGCCCUGUUUUUCCAACUUUCCUUCCUCUCCUACUGCAAAGCCUUCAACACAGGUGUGGACAAAGAUGCCGGCUUCUCCACGCGGUGGAUUGUGGUCAGCCUCUCGCUGUGUGCCGCUGCCAUGCUUUGUAAAGAGCAAGGCAUCACCGUCUUGGGUGUAAACGCAGCUUUUGACGUCCUCGUCAUCUGUAAUGUUGAUGUGUAUGAACUGAGCCAGAGGCUACUCCUCAGGAAGACCCCUCUUAAUGCACGCGAAAUGAUGCGGACCGGCCUGCUGACGCGAUUGGCCCUGGUGGCUCUGGGCGGCGUCCUCAUGCUCUACGCCCGCUGGAGGAUCAUGGGAACUGGGCCACCGGCGUUCACUGAAGUGGACAACCCCGCCUCGUUUGCGGAGAGCGUGUUUCUCAGAGUGGUCAACUAUAAUUACUACUACACCCUGAAUGGCUGGCUGCUGCUGUGUCCCUGGUGGCUGUGCUUCGAUUGGUCCAUGGGCUGCGUGCCGCUCAUUAAGGCCACCGCCGAUUGGAGGGUGUUGUGGCCACUGCUGCUCUGGUGCAUCCUGAUAGGCUUGGUAGGCCAAGCCUUGUUCUCGCCCGACGGGCAGCAGAGGAGGACUCUGAGUUUGUCCCUCGUGCUGCUGGUGGUCCCCUUUCUGCCGGCCUGCAACAUUUUUUUCCGGGUGGGCUUUGUCAUUGCCGAGCGAGUGCUCUACCUGCCCUCAUCUGGCUACUGCCUCCUGCUCGCCUGUGCCUUGGGACACUGCUGCCGCCGCUGGGCCAAGUACAAGAAGCUGCUGAGUCUCUUCGUGCUGGCGUUGUUGUUCACUUUUGUAGCUCGCUGUGCUCUCCGCAGUCACCAGUGGCGGUCCGAGCAAAGCCUCUUCACCAGUGCGCUAGCCAUCUGCCCCCUUAAUGCCAAGGUCCAUUACAAUGUGGGGAAGAACCUGGCCGACAGAGGCAACACCACAGCUGCCAUUAGCUACUACAGAGAGGCCGUAAGGCUCCAUCCCACCUAUGUGCACGCCAUGAACAACCUGGGCAACAUCCUAAAGGAAAGGAAUGAGCUGACAGAGGCUGAGCAGCUGCUGUCCAAAGCCGUUUCCAUCCAACCGGAUUUUGCUGCCGCUUGGAUGAAUCUGGGCAUCGUGCAGAACAGCCUGAGCAAGUUUGAACAAGCGGAGAAGAGCUACUGGAACGCCAUCCGCUUCCGGAAGAAGUACCCAGACUGCUACUACAAUUUGGGACGCCUGUAUGCAGACCAGCAAAGACACGUGGAUGCUCUGAACGCAUGGAGGAAUGCAACAGUGCUUAAACCUGAUCACAGCCUGGCGUGGAACAACAUGGUCAUACUACUAGAUAACAUUGGUAACUUGGGUCAGGCGGAACUGAUUGGCCGAGAGGCUCUGAAGCUUCUCCCGAAGGACCACACCAUAAUGUUCUCGCUGGCCAACGUGCUGGGAAAGCUGGAGAAGUACAAGGAGUCAGAGGGCUUCUUCCUCCAAGCACUCCAGAUCAACCCAAAUGCGGCUGGUUGCCAUGGCAAUUUAGCCGUGCUGUACCAUCGCUGGGGGAAGCUGGAGCUGGCACAGAAGCACUACGAGCUGUCUCUUAAGUUGGACCCCCAGGCCCCGGGGACGAGAGACAACUACAACAUGCUGCGUCGCAAACUGGACCAGCGCAAACGCCACACGCCCUAAGGCAUGGGUGCCAGUCAGCUGAUUCCCAGCGGCCCCCGCUACACUGCAAGAUGAUGUGUAGCUAAAGGAUGGUGGGGUGACGGUCUCGGGCCGACGCCUCCAGAGGCAGACAGCAGCUGUGUGGGAGACAAGUGAGGCUCAUGUGCGGGAGACUCCAGAAGACGGUCCAGAACAUGGAUACUGCAAGGAGAGAAUGACGCCACAUGGUACCUACUCACUCGGCGACAUCUACACUCACUAUCAAUGCUUUUCCUUUGGCAAACCAGUUUGCCUGUAUCUCCGUUCCAACCUGCUGAUGACACGCCGUGACACUCUCAGCUCAGUGGCCACUUUCCUCUGAAAACAUCCUGUUUGAAGCGCGUCAAUGGCUAAAUCCAGUCGAGGUGGAUUCACAUGGAACAUGGGGGCGCUUGCUUUCUUCUACUUCUUCUACUGCACCCCUUUUUUCUCGCACCAUUCAGAAAAUUGACCAACAUUGGUGGGUGCGAGAAAAUGUCAAGGAACAGCAAGUACAGUGGAAGAGAAGGCUUGUCCCCCACAAGCAUGGAGGGACAAGUUGGACAAAGCAACUUUCAGAUGCCACCACAGAAACUUCGGUGCCAAAAGAAGGGAGGUGGAGGGCGAUCAAGCAUGGUAUCUUUUUCAAUUUUCAGUUCAAUCCCUUUUUUGGUGAGUAUUCCAUGUUAAACUUAAAGGAACAGUUAGUAAUAAUAUUUUUUAUUGUGUUCUAGCCUCACUUAGUCUCCUAUACUUUUAAGCCUUUGUAAUGAGACAUGCUUCAUAAUGUGUUUGCAUUAUGGCCUUUUACAGGUGUUACAGGAACUAAUAUUGAAACCACCGUAAGGAAAAAUGUUGUUGGCAAAGUAAAGAAGCCAACUUAAUGCAACAUUGCACAGUAAUGUUGCAGAAUAGAUUGCUAAAAAAUGCAAGGGACUGAAUUAACAACAAUAAGGUAGAAUGUCAUCACCUCAAAGCGAAGUUUGAACAAGCUCUCACGCAAGAGCAAACAGUAACAUAGCACAAUGUAUGAUGACAAAUGUAUGCAUGUGUUAUUCAAUUGUUUAAAUAUGGUUCAUAUGUUUACUCAAGAAAUGUGUUUUUAAAGCAACAGUAAGGAAUAAUUUAUGUCGAUGGUAUGUAACGUCAAUUUAACAUUGUCUGAUCAUUUCAGUGUGUGUGUGUGUGUGUGUGUGGCAAGAUGUGUAUAAGCACUGCGCCGGCAUCAACAAAGAUGCUUUUCUCUUCCUCACAAGGAAGUGUAGCAUCAGCAUAAUUUUGAGGUCCAUUUGUUAUGUUUUUUUUUUUUUUGCUUUAAUGGAAUAAGUUACUUCUGUAUAUGAACUUACUGCAUGCUAGUGAUCAAGAUUUGACUCUAACCACCUAGGCGAGGUCAAGCAGGUGUCAGGCAGGCAGUGGAACCUUGGUCCCAUUCAUUUGUCAGAGGUGGUCCUCACCUGUCCUCACCCCCCCCUCCCCCGAGGAGCAUUAAGGGGUAAAAAGGAUAAAAAGCAAAGCAGAAUUUGACAAUUAGCUGGUCUUGCUUUCAUUUCCCUGCUCAUUUAAGCACGACCAUCUUCAGUCCAAUUUCCAUAAAAGUGUUUUUUGAGAUAUGCUCUAAUAAAACACUCGGUCUUUUCGCAGUAGACGGGCGACACCCCUGUUUCAAACCUUUCACGGAACCCCUGCUGGGUGUAUUGAUAAGCAGCACUGAACCCUGCGGUCAGUGUUUAAUUGCAUUAUUUGGAGUCUUCUAGUCACCCUCCUCUCGCCUUCUGGAUGGGAGGAGAGAACAAGUGUUUACUGAUAAAGUGAGGCCGACAUGGGGGGGGGGGUGUUGUGGGAGUUCUGAGUACGAUAUUGAUGGGUAAUCAAUUUAAAGCAUCAUGUUGAAGAACCCAUCAUUUUAAAAGAAGAAAUAAUAAAUAUAACAAAUAAUUGCUAAUGCUGAAUAGAAAUGAAUGAAUACAUAAAAUACUGUAGACAGUAAAUAACGUAUAUUUUGGCAAUACAGUGGAACCUUGGUUUUUGUCAUUAAUGCAAUUUCAAAAGGUCUUACGAAAACUGAAACGUUUGCAAACCGAGGACAUUUUUAAUGUUAAUCCAAUUAAUUCAUUAAAAACACCCAAAAAUAUUAAGAAAAAAAAGUUUUAUAGAUAAUGAUGAUACUUUUACAUGCAGAAAUCAAUGCAAAAUAAUUCUAAAUAAUAAUUGAAAUUGAUAAAUGAACAUUUGACAUGAUCACUUUUACCUUUAUUGACGGCCAGCAGCCACGUGGAGCGGAGAUGCAGGAAGGGAAAGGAGGGGAUCCACACUGGACUUAACUUCACGUGAAUUCCACCAACAACAACUUCUCAAUCGUGUUAUAUCCAAGAAUGCAUGCCCUAGAACUGUGCAGUCACAUGCAUUCACGGUAAACAAAAAUGACAUGUGCAGCCAGGGACCACAAGCUGGAUGUAAACAAACCUUUUACAGAAGCUUCUGUGGCUUUACCAGGGUGCAUGUAAAAGUCACAGCUGUUUUAUCAGUGUAAAACAAGGUGGAGGUGACCAGCCAUUUUGGCCGAGUAGCCAUUGGAGUUAACCCGCUGCUAGCUGUGUGUAAUCAGUCAACAUUUGUCUCGUCAGUCGAGUUGGCAGAAGAGUAAAAGUGGUCUCCAGCACCAAAUGAAAGCCAGACACUUGACAAAGCAAAUGCUGAUUCACCAGCAGCAAGACAAAAACAAUCAGCCAGGUAGCAAAGAUGAUGAUGACAGACAGGCGACAGCUAGCAGGUAAGUUGUUAAGCCGCCAGGUGUACUUUUAAAAACUCAUGCAGCAAAACCAGAGUUUAGUUAGAUAAAAUUUAGGUAUAGGUUACACUAGAACUCACCUUAGGAACGGAACUCAUACGUACAGUAUACUGAGGACCUGCUGUAAGUAUGAUGAAUAAUAAGAUUGGUUGCAUUGCUAUUCAAUUGGCAGCCUAUUGCUGCUUUGCAGCAUGAAGGGCAGCCAUUGCUCUGCAAGCAGGCUGAUCAUUUCAAGAUUUGGCUUAAUGACUGACAGGCUAGCGGAGGAAACAAUUGCAAGUGUUUUAAAGAGGCCACGUCCACUUACGCAGAGAUGAAUGCGUCAUAGUCAGCUUGACAAUUACUCCUGCUGUUUUCUUCAGAUGUCAUCAUUGUCUUCAAGUGCUCACGGCUCCAUCUUCUAUCAAAGAGGGAUAAUGAGCAACUGUUUGCUUCGUCUGCAGGUGGACAAAUGGACCACUCAGUCAUUGGCAGUGGUAUCCAAGCACUCAAUAGUGUAGUGCACAGAAAAGUUGUUGAUUUUUUUGAGUCCAUGAACAUUGAAGGAUUUGAAAACGUUCGCCUGUGCAGGCUCUUAGACAUGGAAGCUACAAGUUGGUCUCCUCCCGCCAGUUAUAAAAAUAAUAUUAACAGCCAAAGGUGCAUAAAGGUGCAUGAUGGAAACACAAACUGAAAUACUAAAAAUUCUCAGGGCGCUGAAUCGAUUGCAACUGGACUGUUUAGUUACAAUGACCUGGAUGAAACAAAUACGACAAAUAAUUUGUGCUUUCAUAUGCACAAGCAUAUGAGCGCGACAGAAUAGAAAUAAAUCGAAUUGAAGAAUAGAAUAGAUCUAAUCCACAAACUCAAAGCACACAGUGAGCAAGAGCAAAUUCACAAAGUAGUCCAAUCACAUAAUCAGUUUGACCACUCGUCCUAUUUCUUAGCUGUGAAAACUGUGUUACCUUGGAUAACAGAAAUAAAAACUAGAAAUAAUCCAUAAAAUCAAAGCGAGUUGUUUACCUUUUAUAUUACUUGUGUUUCUGGCAUUCAUUGUGGAAAGCAAAGGAAGAAUUUAAUUGUACGAUGAAACUUGUAUCCUUGCUGUGCAUAUAUAAUAAACAAUAUCCUAUCCUAGUCAAGUCAUAUAAUUAUGGUGACUGCUUGUCCUGUUAGUUAUUGAUAACCAAUAUGAUAACCACCACAGCUGCCUAAUAGAAAAAACGAAAGAAUAGAAAUAAUCCUCAAAGUCAAAACCCAAGGUGCACUCACUCAUGCAAAAGCACAUUCACAAUGUAGCCUAUCCUGAUCAUUCAUGCGCUCCUCCCACCAGUUAUUAAUGAUAGCAGCCGCCUUGCACAUUAGCAACAGCAACUAAAAUGAUACAUGAAGUCAGGAAAGUUGCAGUAAUACAGCGCUGUGUAAUGAAGUGAUGGCAUGUCCUGGGAUUGGCACAGAAUGAGCCACCUUGCGUGAAGCCACCUUGUGCUGGCGCGCUCGGUUCCGCUUGGUUCCACUCAAAGAGAGUGGAGGCAUGUUAACACACACAAGCAUACGCUAAUUAAAAAUCCACACACCGCUGCCACAAUCAAUAUGCUUCAUUAAUUUGUCUACACAUCACCAUUGAACAUUCAUUUUAAUAUGUAAUGCUGCUUUAAAAAUACUUGCUUCACAUGCUAUGUCAAGAAAAAUAUAUCUACAGAUACAUAUACAGUCAAUCAAUCGCGUAUACAUCAUAAUGAAAUCAUUACAACUUCCUUCCUGUUGCAGCACCUGAUCCAAGAGUUGCAGUGUGAGUGAUAUACAUUUCACCUGUGAUUAAUGUUAAUGCAAUUUUGGAGCUAGCUGUGCAUGCCUCACCACUAACGCGCCCUGAUUAAUUCUCCCCGAGAGUCAGGAACAUGGGAAUAGUUUUCCUCCGGCUCCGGCAAUAACCACGCUGCCCUGCAGAAUUUUCUCACACUUCAGCCAGGCGGGAUUUCUUAAUUCUGCCCCCGCUUCUUUAGAAAGUGUUAAUUUGAUAGGAUUCAAAUCUCACAGGUCGCAAAAAAGGUUGUUAUAGUCCCCAGGAUGUUUUUUCUAUUAAAAGAACACUGCAAAUUUGAAUUGAAUUGAAUUUGAAUUGAAAGUCUCACUUUUAGUUCUGCUGGACCUGAGCACUGGCUUUGACACAGUUGACCAUGUGAUCUUAUUACAGAGGUUAGAAAGCUGGGUGGGAAUCUCUGGUACAGCUCUAAACUGGUUCAUUUCCUAUCUGGAAGACAGAAACUACUUUGUUGGAAUUGGUAACUGUGUCUCAGAGCAAAUGGCUAUGACUUUUGGGGUUCCCCAGGGGUCAAUCCUGGGACCCCUAUUGUUCAAUCUGUACAUGCUUCCUUUAGGCCAACUAAUACGCAACUAUGCAGACGACACUCUAUGUGUCACUGACGGGUCCUGCAGGUUUACUUUGUCACUGCAUCAAACAGAUCUGUGUGUGGAUGCAACACAACUUUCUCCAGCUAAAUUCAACUGAAAUAAUGGUCUUUGGCCCACAAAAACAAAGAGAAAGUGUUAUUAGGCACCUUGAGAUGUUUUCUCUAAUCAUCAGGUUAGAAAUGUAGGGGUAAUAAUGGACUAAGACCUGAACAUUAACAGCCACAUUAAAUCAAUAACAUCAUCAGCUUUUUACCAUCUAAAAAGCAUUGCCAAAAUCAAGGGAAUAGUGCCUAAACCAGAUUUAGAGAGACUAAUCCAUGUCUUUGUUUCCAGCAGACUGUAACGGCCUUCUCACCGGGCUCUCUAAACGAGCAGUAAAACAGCUGCAGUACAUCCAGAAUGCUGCUGCUCGAGUCCUGACUAGAACCAGGAAAUAGGACCAUAUUCGUCCAGUACUCGGGUCUCUGCACUGGCUUCCUGUUGCUCAGAGAAUAGACUUUAAAACAGCUCUGCUUGUGUACAAGUUUUUUGAUGGUCUUGCGCCAAAGUACAUCUCUGACAUGUUAGAGCCACAUAAACCAUCUCGAGUGCCCAGAGUCAGGAUUAAACACGGUGAGGUUUUGUUUCAGUUUAAUGCUACCAAAAUCUGGAACAAUCUUCAGAAGAUGUGUGACAAUCCUCAACUUUGGCAAUGUUCAAAUCCAAGCUGAAAACACUUCUACUCAAAUGUGCAUAUGACAACUGAAAGUAUUUUACCUGCACUCUUCAUCCUUAAUCUUUUUGGUUUCAUUGAAUGAUUUCUGGAAUGUUAUGUAAUGAUUUUAGAAUGAUUUUAUGUUUUUAUGGAAUGGUUUUAUGAAGUGGUUUUACACUUAUUUUCUGUAAAGCACUUUGAAUUACCUUGUGUAUGAAUUGUGCUUGAUAAAUUAACUUCCCUUGCCUUGCCUUAUUGUCUCUCAGAGCCAGCUAGCUUUCCAUCCUCUGAUUGGUUGAUCAGAGCAAAAUUGUUCCAUUCAGCUAAGUCAAGCACUCAAUGGCUGGCCGAGGUGGAAAUUGGCAUCUCUAGUGUGCGAGUAGAUGUAUUUUAUUUAAAAGAUUUAUGACUUUGUCAUUAGAUAAAUAUUUAUUCUGAACUGCCCUUGUUGUAGUGUACAUGUUUUCUUGCCUUGUCUGCGCCCUUAAUCACCGAACCAUUUUAUUUACCUCGUCACACUUGUCUGAGCGCCCUCUUUACAAGCACCGGCGAUCAUCGGUGGAAGUUAGUUCCUAAUGCUCCAAGUUAGUAGCAGAAAUAUCUUCAUCUUCCAAUACAUCUGUGACGAUACCAUACUUGCCUCUGUUUGUCUGGCUGGUUAAGAUUUGCACCCUUCUCAAAAUGAAUCCAAAGACGUUCCAAACACCGACAUGCUGGCUAGCUAGUUAGACUAGAGUAAUCGCCUCUGUUGGUCUGGCUAGUCAAGUUGUCAAGUUGUGCACCCUUCUUGACAUUAACCCAAAGAGUUCCAAACUUCGGCCUUCAAACGCAGGCUAAUUAGCUAGCACUAGCCCUGGCUCAGUAGCGCUGGUGGCCGGCGCGCUGGCCCUGGCUAGCUAACCUGUGCGUUUCGCCGGCAGCCCAGGCUCUUGCGUUGUUUGUAAGGCACUGUCAACCGAUUGCUUCUCUUGCGAUACCCGGUGCAUGUCUCCACAAUCGAUUAAUGUCAUUAUUUUGAUUAUUAUUGAUACAGGAGUCUUUUACCGGCGAAUCGUUAUCGUUCACAUCCCUAAUAAAAGGAUUCGUCCCGAUAGAAUCUGUUGCCGCCUUUUAAUAAGAUGCAGUGAAACUUAGCCCCAUCUUUCAUUUUAUCUUUAAUGCUUCUGUGCAGGAGCAAAGCAGACCUCAGGUAUGGAAGAUGCCACAGUUGUUUCUGUCCCAAAACUGAAUAGCUCAAAGUUGUUCAACGACUUCAGACUGGUGGCCCUUACGUCAACUGCAAUGAAAACAUUAAAAAAAAACUUGUAAGAGCAGAAGUCCUCAAGUCCAACCCAGGGCCUGAUUGACCCCUUACAAUUUGCCUACAGGCCGCAAAGAGGAGUUGAGGAUGCCACAGUCACUUUAUCAAAUUUGGUUUUGCGUCACCUGGAUUGCCAGGAUUUUAUUUGUGGAUUUUAGCUCAGCUUUUAACACCAUCCAGCCCCAGAUUACCGACUCUUAAAUGAUUUUAAUUUGAGCAAGAAUCUUGUGGGCUGGAUUCUGAACUUUUUAACUAACAGGACACAGAGAACAAGGGUCAGUAGAGUCUGACCUUGUCUGUAGUUCUACUGGUUCACCACAGGGGUGUGUCCUAUCGCCUUUACCUUUAACAACAACAAAAGUGCACUUCUUUCACUACCUCCUCUACAAAAAUGUCAAUUAGGAUAAUCCACAACGUGUUUAUGGAGAACACACAAGCCUUUUGUUCACUGAAUCAGAAUUACUGAAAUUCAGCAAUCUAUACAACAGCUAAAAUUAUACACAAAGCAAACAACAACCUGCUCGCCUAUAAUGUACAACAAUUCUUCUCGACAAGAGAGGAGAAAUACGACCUAAGGGAAAAGUGUGGGGUUAAAUUAUGGAAUGGACUGAGUAAAAAAUGUCAACAAUGUAUUAAUAUGAGCCAUUCCAAGCAUUUGAUGUUUACAAAGUAUAAAAAAAAACGAAGAAAGCUGAACCACAGUGUCUGAUAUCAUUACUGCUAUUGCUUCCGUUUAUUAAUUAAAAAGACACAAACUAACUUAUCACCUGUUAUUGAUUUUUUAUGAUUACUUUUUUUUUAUUAUUAUUAUUAUUAUUAUUACUCCUGAGAUUUUGUUUUUUUGGCGGAUUAGUAAAAAGUUGCAUCGAAAUGGGAACAGAUCACUUGAGUGAAAAUGAUGUAAUAUGCCAGGCACACCUAUGUGUGGCACUGUGAACAGACGCGCAGACUGAACCAAACAACAGAAGAAGAAAGAAUGCGUGCACAUACAUUAAGUAUGUCAUCUUCCGCUUUCCAAGGCUCAUCUAGACUUACAAGAAGUGGAAUUACUUCUUCCAGUCAUUAUGGAGUAUAAGACAACAAAAUAUCAAGAGAAUGUCGACUGGGGUGAGUCAUGCCAGUCCAAAUAUUCAGAUAUUAUGUUGGCUUGACGUCAAAGCUCACUUCUGGUCACGUGAACAUGAAAAACAACAAGCCAGCGUUUUCAGACUUUCCCACUCUGGAAGCUGUUUUCAAAAAAUACUGUUUCAGGGCACCCAGAACACAGUCUCCGUGUGGAUGAGAGGCUGAAAAUGAUAAAAUACUUGGCCAUUUUGACCUGUGAAAACAUUUCUGUGUGGACAGACCCUUAAAAAGCCAAACAUGAUCUAAUUAAGGGGUUCACGUGUGUUUAAAAGCUACUUUUACAUCAAUUUAUUCAAUAAUUUGUUUUUUUAGGGCAUAUAAACGUACUGACUACUGUUGUCAAAACGUACUUCUUACACCCUCAAGCUCAGUCCUUGCUAGAAGGAGCAUUGCAGCGUUUGUCCGCUCCUUUUUUACGGGGAAGCACAAGAAGAGACUUGAAUGUGACCUCCUAAGGCCUCCUUAUUCACACCACAACAACAACAACAACACACAAACUUUACUUAACCUUGAAAAGAAAACGAAACAGCAAAAUCCAAUUAGGCUCAUUUAAAACACUCCCAGUGAGAAAUGUUUAUCCUUUUGGUUAAGAGAUAAUGCAUUUAAGUCCCUGUACACACGGAAACGUUCAAGGGGUUUUCUUUCGGUGAGUUGAAAAAACUGUGCCGGAUUAGUAAAUAGUUCCAUCCAGACUGUCACACCUUGACGAUUUAGGCAGCGCAUGCCUGACGUGAUCAUUUUGAUGGCAUACGUUGAACUGCCGACGUUUUUUUUUUUUUAAUUUUGGGCGUAUACAUAGCGUAUUCAUAACAAGGUCGACGUAAACAUGACGUAUGAGUAACUUAUAUAGAACGUUUCUAUAACUUAUAGACAACUUAUAUCAACGAAUGCGUAGUGUGUUGCCGGUGUUCAUAAUUUAUGCCCAACGCCUGUCACACCUUGACGAUUUAGCCAGCUUACGGCAACGUAUGAAAAAAUGGGCCAAUACGCUGGCGUACGUCCAAUAAGUUAUGGGUAAGUUUUGUAUAAGUUAAGAGCACGCUGAAGCACGCCGGCAUACGUCAUAGUAUGUCCAAGUCAUCCAAAAAUGUUGUGCAUGCACAAAACAUUUCGACAUAUGUCAACAUAUGAUUAAUACGUCCCGCAUCCGCGGGCAAUUAGUUAUGCGAUCGUUGACGCCCGUUCACACACGUUAUUUGUAAGUUACGUACAAGUCAAAAUACGUCAACAUACCUUGAGACAGAACUGUCUUCUUGGCGAGUGAAGAUGGAGAGGAGGAGAGGCUGUCGUGUUUGUAUUUGCAGGUAAGUUUGCAGCUUGACCAGUAGAGGGCACUGUGACACUGGGAAUGGAACCAACUUUUGAUUUUUUUAUCAACUUUAUUAAUGCAUUAGCGAGCCACAAAUCAAUGAGUGGUAGCGUAUGCAGCCUACACCAGGGGUCUGAGACCCGCGGCCCCCGGGACGAUAGUUUGCGGCCCCGUCUUAAUAUGAAAAAUUUAUAUUCGUGUGGCCCGCAACUUUGAUAUGAAUGACACUUGUCGUGUGCGGAGCUGA